CCUACGUGAGGCAGCAGUGAGGAAUAUUGGUCAAUGGGCUUACGCCUGAACCAGCCAAGUCGCGUGAGGGAAGACUGCCCUAUGGGUUGUAAACUUCUUUUCUCAGGGACGAAGCAAGUGACGGUACCUGAGGAAUAAGCCACGGCUAACUACGUGCCAGCAGCCGCGGUAAUACGUAGGUGGCAAGCGUUAUCCGGAUUUACUGGGUGUAAAGGGCGUGUAGGCGGGAAAGCAAGUCAGAUGUGAAAACCAUGGGCUCAACCUGUGGCCUGCAUUUGAAACUGUUUUUCUUGAGUACUGGAGAGGCAGACGGAAUUCCUAGUGUAGCGGUGAAAUGCGUAGAUAUUAGGAGGAACACCAGUGGCGAAGGCGGUCUGCUGGACAGCAACUGACGCUGAGGCGCGAAAGCGUGGGGAGCAAACAGGAUUAGAUACCCUUGUAGUC
rnacentral:rRNA from 1 species